rnacentral:piRNA from 1 species
UGAGAGGUACCAUAGGAAGUUGAUGUG